AAUAGAGAGACAGAGAGAGAUAUUAAAGAACAAAGAGAAAUCGAAGUCGAAGACGAUAAGGAAGCCACCAUUGAGAGACGUAUCCAACAACAAAAACAGUGUGUACAAUAAUGGCAGAAGGUUCUCGAAACCCUUGUAUAUGAAGAAUCUUAGUUUUUUCAGAGAAAGAAGUAGAAGAAGAAGAUGGAUCGCUUGACCGCCUUCUACUUGUCCAGUCCGAUCUCGCCUCUCUCAUCCAUCAGGUUGAUGAACUUGUUGCGCAAGCAUUUAAACUGAAGUCAACGAGCAAACAGGGGAGAAUAGAAAUUGAAUCUUUCACCCAUUUCUUGUCUGAAAUGCUUUCUUCUUUAAAGCCAUGGCUUCUCAGAGUCUGAAAAUCAGUUGGGACAGACUGGGGAAAGUAAAACAGUUUCUUUGACUGGUAAAAUUUAAAAUGCUACCUGCAGCCAAUACUUCUGGAGUUAUUCAGUUUGUGAUGAAAGAAGAACUUUUUAUAGUUGACCACUUGCACUUGAAAGAGGCAUUCACUAAAGCUAGUGAAAAACCACUGUUUGUGUGGUUACCACUAUUGAAUUCAUCUUCUCUAGGUAAAUUGUUAGAGAUUUACACUAGUCUUGGUGUUCGAAAAAUAUCUGAAGCUGUGCAGUUUGACCUACAUUGUACUAUUUCUGCGAGUAAAAAAAUUGAGAAGACAGAUUCCCUAAUUGGGAAAGCUUUGAUCAAAUUGGUGUUGGCCCAUGCAAAUAUGCCAAUGGAAGAAAAACACAAGACUGCAAAAUCUCUCCUGGGACUUCCAGUCUAUGGCACUGAAGAAAUAUCAGUCCAGCAUGCCUUACAGUUACCUUUGCAGAAAAGGAGGUUAGAAGUAGAAAUUAAAAAAAAAGGUGCUUUGGGAGAAGAAAUCAGAGAGACUGUUUGUCAAGAAAUCAACCUGGAAUAAAUGGAAGAAAGAUGUAGAAUUCAAUUCAUUGCUUCUUUUGCACAAGCUAUCUCGGAAACAGUUCUAUCUAACAGUAGGGAUCAAAUGGACAUGCUUUGCAGAAUAAUCCAAAUGGGCAUGGCACUUGGGUUAGAGGAAGAUGCAGUGGACUCCCUGCUAUGGACACAGAAUUUGGAACUAUCUUUUGAGGAUAAGGAAUUCCUUGAUCGUUCAUUUCCCUCUAGGAAUUCCUUGAUCGUUUUGGGUAAGCGCAAGUCUGUCAACCUGCCUUCAAUUCCAAAAGGUUGGGCUUGUAAGAGGCCGCGUUGACAGACUUCAAUUUCUCAACUUCGCUGUAAUGGAAGAAGUCCUUUUGGUGGUUCUGUAUAUUGAAUACUCUACGACUGUUGUCUUGUAAUGGCAGGAACGACAAUACGACAUAAUGUGCUUGUAACUGUAGCUGUACUUUUAAUUGAUAGAUUAAUCUUGAAGAAGCAUGUUUUGGAUUUGACAAGAUUAGGCCUUGCUAAUCUAAUACAAGCAGAUGUGUUUUCAA